CUGAGCCAAUGAGAACCACCCAGGGAUGGCAACUAUUAGCAUAAACUGUCUAAGCCCACCUCCCACUUGGGGCGGGGCUUGUCUCCACGGCAACCCUCCAAGCCGAUUCCCCCAGGGGCUGAUCCCAGCAGAAAUAUAGGUGCUGAAGGGCAGGUGGGGGUUGAGAGGAAUUCCGAUGGGGGGGUGGGGGGCAGGAAGAACCCAGGCGCUGGAACUUCUUUGGCUUCUGACCUUGUCACCUCGCCUAUUAAAUGGGCCCCAUCAUUACGGGCAUCAGACACCGUAACGUUUUCUUGAAAGCGCUGCGAGGGAUCUGGCGGACUCCUAGAGCAGCUUUGCUUCUUCGCCACACUCCCCUGCAGUCCGCGGCCUGUCCCCGGAUGAAAUCUUCGGAGCCUCCCCACCUUUUCUGGACUGGCCCCUCUCAGUCGAGAAGAGUAUCAGUUGGCACAGUCGGUGAUAUGGUCUCCCUACUUCUGACGCCUCUGCUGUCCAGUGGAUAGAAGGAUCUGGAAGAGCCUGAGAGGCAGGCCCGGUUUGACACGGUAUUCGUUCUCUGCAGGGGGGACGGUGCCCAGAGCUGACUCCCGCCUUGUGGGGCAGGUGAGGACAGAGCAAGAAGACAGCUGUCUGCCAACCGGGAAGAGAGCCCUCACCAGGAACCCAAUUGGCCGGCACCCUGAUCUUGGACCUCCAGCCUCCAGAACCGUGAGCAGCAAAUGCCUGUUGGUGGAGCCCCCCGGACCCCGGUUGCCAAAGCCGACUUUGCACACAUACGUGCACCCUCACAACCACACAGGGCAACUAGUCUUUUCAAAGAAAAGGGUUUUCUUUCCUUUUUGGUGAUUUCGUCUGUUUCCCUCCACACUACAAAAAAAAAAAAAAAAAAAAAAAGGCCAAGGUCGAGGAAUUUCUUCACAUCUCCAGGGUUUGCUCUGGUGUCCCGAGAACGUGGCUGGUGACGCGGGAUAAGGUCGCCCUAUUAUGACAGUAGUUCCUUCUGGCUUAUGAUAAAUCCCAGCCGGGUCAACCAGUGCACAGAAGGACUCUUCCGACCGUGACUCCAGUCCCCUGAGCCUCUCUGUUAGGUUUAUCAAACUCUAAAGCUAUAGCCCUGCCCCAGGGUUACCACAGCCCCCAAAUCCUACUGCUCCCCCAAACUCCUACCCUGACUUCAAGAUAACUGGCAUAAAUGUGGCUCAUCUGCUCAGAUAAGGACCCUGCUCAGAUUAUGAGUUCCACUCUACAGGGCUGGGGUUGUAUUUUCAAAAUGCGUAUCAAAUCCCGCUUAAAUGCCUUUUCACUGCUUCGAGGACAAAUUCACCACAUUGAAUGAUAGCCCUACCGCAGUUCCCAGAAAGGUCGGGAAGGUUGUGUCCUAACAUGUGAUUGGUGAUGUCAUAUAGUCCAACAUCCAAUAUCAUUCCCAUACCUGACUCUCCCCAACUCAGAGACUGACUGGCCGCCACUGGCCGAGCCCACCCACCCCAGGUUCUAGAAGAAAACGCGGCCAGAGGCGCAGGGAGGGAUUCUGCAGGCACUCAAGUCACCUUCCCUGCCUCCACCCCAAGAAAUACUCUCCUGCUUAAAUUUCUAUGCCUUUCUUAUAAGCGGUCCAAUAACUCACCCCUUCAAGGACGGGCCAGCCUUGUUCUUUCCUGUUUGGCCAAUCUCCCGCUCUGGUCCUAACUAGGAGCAGAAUCCCAUCCUGAAAACUGAAAGGUACUGAGGACGUGAAAAAAAACCCAUAAAUGGGCAAGUGAACACACCAUGUGAUAUGAUACAUGGUUGACACGACGUGAUGUGCUGUGACGUUGAUAAGAUGCAAUGUGGUCCCUGCUUAGACCACUUGCAAUUCUUGCUGAUUUCCCGUCCUUUUUCUAGACACUUCUUUGGAACUCCCUGAACCUGCAACCCAGACCACGUGUGGGCCAUGCCACAGAUCUGUUUACGUUCUAUCUGUGAAACUGCUUUUCUCCUCCUGACUGUUGACGGAUAUAGUUCUGUCUGGUGCGAGCCUGGCAGGAACCGGACUCUUAAGGGCGAGGUCAAGUUAGGUUAGGGCCAGUGCAGGCAGUGAGUUACCUGGGACCACGCUAAAAAAGGGAACUUCUUUUUUUUUCUUUUUUUGAAUGCUUAUUUAUUCUUGA